rnacentral:rRNA from 1 species
CUAGUUGGUGAGGUAACGGCUCACCAAGGCUUAGACGGGUAGCUGGUCUGAGAGGAUGAUCAGCCACACUGGGACUGCGACACGGCCCAGACUCCUACGGGAGGCAGCAGUGGGGAAUAUUGCACAAUGGGCGAAAGCCUGAUGCAGCGACGCCGCGUGAGGGAUGACGGCCUUCGGGUUGUAAACCUCUUUCAGCAGGGAAGAAGCGCAAGUGACGGUACCUGCAGAAGAAGCACCGGCUAACUACGUGCCAGCAGCCGCGGUAAUACGUAGGGUGCGAGCGUUGUCCGGAUUUAUUGGGCGUAAAGAGCUCGUAGGCGGCUUGUCGCGUCGGAUGUGAAAGCCCGGGGCUUAACUCCGGGUCUGCAUUCGAUACGGGCAGGCUAGAGUGUGGUAGGGGAGAUCGGAAUUCCUGGUGUAGCGGUGAAAUGCGCAGAUAUCAGGAGGAACACCGGUGGCGAAGGCGGAUCUCUGGGCCAUUACUGACGCUGAGGAGCGAAAGCGUGGGGAGCGAACAGGAUUAGAUACCCUGGUAGUCCACGCCGUAAACGUUGGGAACUAGGUGUGGGUCACAUUCCACGUGGUCCGCGCCGCAGCUAACGCAUUAAGUUCCCCGCCUGGGGAGUACGGCCGCAAGGCUAAAACUCAAAGGAAUUGACG